rnacentral:lncRNA from 1 species
UCGCGUGUGUGCUAUUUUUGAGCCGAUUCAUUGAACAUUAAAUGAUGACAAAAAUGAAAAAAAUAACAAAUCAUUUUACCAUUAAAGAUUGUAAUAAUGGCAAUGGUGAUCAGCGUAGCAAAUCAAAGUGUGCGAAACUGACUCAGCAGGUUCUAUCUGAAGAAAAUGUCAGUGAACAGCAUAUGCCAAGCAAGGGAAGUGUUGAUGUUAAACAGAGAACAAUCACUCAAAAACGUUCUGUGAAUGGAAAAAAGUUAUUCUUGGCUCCUGUAUGACACAGUGACCAAACAAUGAAAUGUUCUUUGUGUCUCCAGUAUCCGAAUAUUGCAAACAAUCAGAGUGCAUAUUUGAAGGGAACUGGAAAUUUCAAGAUUGAAAGCAUAAAGAAAUAUGACAUAUCAGCUAAAAAGAAAAGCG